GAUUCCAUUUUUAUUAUGAUGAUAGCGGGAAUAAAACAAUAGAUAGAACUGCGACUUUGUAUGCUUUAAGAUAAUAUCAUAUGCUGAAGUAUAUUUCUUGAGUGUUAAAUAU